UUAAACAAAAAAAGGCAAAAACAAAAAAAAAAAAAAAACAAAAACUAGAUUAGUGACAAUUAGAAAAUAAAAGUGUAUUGUGUGCGUGUAUGGAAAGUAUUGAAAGUGCAUUAAGAAGGUGCUCAGGUGCUUAAAGUAAAACUUACGCGUAGAUAUAACAAGUGUAAGAAAUGUCAUUAAAGGCUGGAAAAUAAAUAAAGUUUUAUUAUCUCUUCAAGCUUUCUAACGUUUUUACCACUGCUGCUGCUGCUGCUUUUGCGGUA